AUUGAACGCUGGCGGCAUGCUUUACACAUGCAAGUCGAACGGUAACAGGCCGAGCGUUGCUGACGAGUGGCGGACGGGUGCGUAAUGCUUAGGCACGUGUCCCCUCGCUGGGGGUAACUACUCACAAGAGUAGCCCAUACCUCAUACGAGCUAUUGAUUAGAGCGGGGGACCGUAAGGCCUCGCGCCGUUUUUGCGGCCGCUGUCAGAUUAGGUAGUUGGUCGGGUAACGGCUGACCAAGGCAACGAUCUGUAGCUGGUCUGAGAGGAGGACCAGCCACACUGGGACUGAGACACGGCCCAGACUCCUACGGGAGGCAGCAGUGGGGAAUCUUGGACAAUGGGCGAAAGCCUGAUCCAGCAACGCCGCGUGAAUGAAGAAGGUCUUCGGGUUGUAAACUUCUUUUGUAAGGAAAGAAACGGCUCUGGUUAAUACCCGGGGCUAAUGACGGUACCGAAAGAAUAAGCACCGGCUAACUACGUG
rnacentral:rRNA from 1 species